AGCCCAGAGCCUGAAUCAGUGUGUGUGUUAGUGGAAGCGUCUGGAAAGGCGCGCGAUACAGGGUGACAGCCCCGUACACAAAAAUGCACAUGCUGUGAGCUCGAUGAGUAGGGCGGGACACGUGGUAUCCUGUCUGAAUAUGGGGGGACCAUCCUCCAAGGCUAAAUACUCCUGACUGACCGAUAGUGAACCAGUACCGUGAGGGAAAGGCGAAAAGAACCCCGGCGAGGGGAGUGAAAAAGAACCUGAAACCGUGUACGUACAAGCAGUGGGAGCCUCUUAAUGGGGUGACUGCGUACCUUUUGUAUAAUGGGUCAGCGACUUAUAUUCUGUAGCAAGGUUAACCGAAUAGGGGAGCCGAAGGGAAACCGAGUCUUAACUGGGCGUUAAGUUGCAGGGUAUAGACCCGAAACCCGGUGAUCUAGCCAUGGGCAGGUUGAAGGUUGGGUAACACUAACUGGAGGACCGAACCGACUAAUGUUGAAAAAUUAGCGGAUGACUUGUGGCUGGGGGUGAAAGGCCAAUCAAACCGGGAGAUAGCUGGUUCUCCCCGAAAGCUAUUUAGGUAGCGCCUCGUGAAUUCAUCUCCGGGGGUAGAGCACUGUUUCGGCAAGGGGGUCAUCCCGACUUACCAACCCGAUGCAAACUGCGAAUACCGGAGAAUGUUAUCACGGGAGACACACGGCGGGUGCUAACGUCCGUCGUGAAGAGGGAAACAACCCAGACCGCCAGCUAAGGUCCCAAAGUCAUGGUUAAGUGGGAAACGAUGUGGGAAGGCCCAGACAGCCAGGAUGUUGGCUUAGAAGCAGCCAUCAUUUAAAGAAAGCGUAAUAGCUCACUGGUCGAGUCGGCCUGCGCGGAAGAUGUAACGGGGCUAAACCAUGCACCGAAGCUGCGGCAGCGACGCUUAUGCGUUGUUGGGUAGGGGAGCGUUCUGUAAGCCUGCGAAGGUGUGCUGUGAGGCAUGCUGGAGGUAUCAGAAGUGCGAAUGCUGACAUAAGUAACGAUAAAGCGGGUGAAAAGCCCGCUCGCCGGAAGACCAAGGGUUCCUGUCCAACGUUAAUCGGGGCAGGGUGAGUCGACCCCUAAGGCGAGGCCGAAAGGCGUAGUCGAUGGGAAACAGGUUAAUAUUCCUGUACUUGGUGUUACUGCGAAGGGGGGACGGAGAAGGCUAUGUUGGCCGGGCGACGGUUGUCCCGGUUUAAGCGUGUAGGCUGGUUUUCCAGGCAAAUCCGGAAAAUCAAGGCUGAGGCGUGAUGACGAGGCACUACGGUGCUGAAGCAACAAAUGCCCUGCUUCCAGGAAAAGCCUCUAAGCAUCAGGUAACAUCAAAUCGUACCCCAAACCGACACAGGUGGUCAGGUAGAGAAUACCAAGGCGCUUGAGAGAACUCGGGUGAAGGAACUAGGCAAAAUGGUGCCGUAACUUCGGGAGAAGGCACGCUGAUAUGUAGGUGAAGCGACUUGCUCGUGGAGCUGAAAUCAGUCGAAGAUACCAGCUGGCUGCAACUGUUUAUUAAAAACACAGCACUGUGCAAACACGAAAGUGGACGUAUACGGUGUGACGCCUGCCCGGUGCCGGAAGGUUAAUUGAUGGGGUUAGCGGUAACGCGAAGCUCUUGAUCGAAGCCCCGGUAAACGGCGGCCGUAACUAUAACGGUCCUAAGGUAGCGAAAUUCCUUGUCGGGUAAGUUCCGACCUGCACGAAUGGCGUAAUGAUGGCCAGGCUGUCUCCACCCGAGACUCAGUGAAAUUGAACUCGCUGUGAAGAUGCAGUGUACCCGCGGCAAGACGGAAAGACCCCGUGAACCUUUACUAUAGCUUGACACUGAACAUUGAGCCUUGAUGUGUAGGAUAGGUGGGAGGCUUUGAAGUGUGGACGCCAGUCUGCAUGGAGCCGACCUUGAAAUACCACCCUUUAAUGUUUGAUGUUCUAACGUUGGCCCCUGAUCGGGGUUGCGGACAGUGUCUGGUGGGUAGUUUGACUGGGGCGGUCUCCUCCUAAAGAGUAACGGAGGAGCACGAAGGUUGGCUAAUCCUGGUCGGACAUCAGGAGGUUAGUGCAAUGGCAUAAGCCAGCUUGACUGCGAGCGUGACGGCGCGAGCAGGUGCGAAAGCAGGUCAUAGUGAUCCGGUGGUUCUGAAUGGAAGGGCCAUCGCUCAACGGAUAAAAGGUACUCCGGGGAUAACAGGCUGAUACCGCCCAAGAGUUCAUAUCGACGGCGGUGUUUGGCACCUCGAUGUCGGCUCAUCACAUCCUGGGGCUGAAGUAGGUCCCAAGGGUAUGGCUGUUCGCCAUUUAAAGUGGUACGCGAGCUGGGUUUAGAACGUCGUGAGACAGUUCGGUCCCUAUCUGCCGUGGGCGCUGGAGAACUGAGGGGGGCUGCUCCUAGUACGAGAGGACCGGAGUGGACGCAUCACUGGUGUUCGGGUUGUCAUGCCAAUGGCACUGCCCGGUAGCUAAAUGCGGAAGAGAUAAGUGCUGAAAGCAUCUAAGCACGAAACUUGCCCCGAGAUGAGUUCUCCCUGACUCCUUGAGAGUCCUGAAGGAACGUUGAAGACGACGACGUUGAUAGGCCGGGUGUGUAAGCGCAGCGAUGCGUUGAGCUAACCGGUACUAAUGAACCGUGAGGCUUAACCUU
rnacentral:rRNA from 1 species